rnacentral:rRNA from 1 species
UACGUAGGGUGCAAGCGUUGUCCGGAAUUAUUGGGCGUAAAGAGCUCGUAGGCGGUCUGUCGCGUCGGCUGUGAAAACUCGGGGCUCAACCCCGAGCCUGCAGUCGAUACGGGCAUCACUGGAGUUCGGCAGGGGAGACUGGAAUUCCUGGUGUAGCGGUGAAAUGCGCAGAUAUCAGGAGGAACACCGGUGGCGAAGGCGGGUCUCUGGGCCGAUACUGACGCUGAGGAGCGAAAGCGUGGGGAGCGAACAGG